rnacentral:rRNA from 1 species
AGAGUUUGAUCCUGGCUCAGGAUGAACGCUGGCGGCGUGCCUAAUACAUGCAAGUCGAGCGAACGGACGAGAAGCUUGCUUCUCUGAUGUUAGCGGCGGACGGGUGAGUAACACGUGGAUAACCUACCUAUAAGACUGGGAUAACUUCGGGAAACCGGAGCUAAUACCGGAUAAUAUUUUGAACCGCAUGGUUCAAAAGUAAAAGACGGUCUUGCUGUCACUUAUAGAUGGAUCCGCGCUGCAUUAGCUAGUUGGUAAGGUAACGGCUUACCAAGGCAACGAUGCAUAGCCGACCUGAGAGGGUGAUCGGCCACACUGGAACUGAGACACGGUCCAGACUCCUACGGGAGGCAGCAGUAGGGAAUCUUCCGCAAUGGGCGAAAGCCUGACGGAGCAACGCCGCGUGAGUGAUGAAGGUCUUCGGAUCGUAAAACUCUGUUAUUAGGGAAGAACAUAUGUGUAAGUAACUGUGCACAUCUUGACGGUACCUAAUCAGAAAGCCACGGCUAACUACGUGCCAGCAGCCGCGGUAAUACGUAGGUGGCAAGCGUUAUCCGGAAUUAUUGGGCGUAAAGCGCGCGUAGGCGGUUUUUUAAGUCUGAUGUGAAAGCCCACGGCUCAACCGUGGAGGGUCAUUGGAAACUGGAAAACUUGAGUGCAGAAGAGGAAAGUGGAAUUCCAUGUGUAGCGGUGAAAUGCGCAGAGAUAUGGAGGAACACCAGUGGCGAAGGCGACUUUCUGGUCUGUAACUGACGCUGAUGUGCGAAAGCGUGGGGAUCAAACAGGAUUAGAUACCCUGGUAGUCCACGCCGUAAACGAUGAGUGCUAAGUGUUAGGGGGUUUCCGCCCCUUAGUGCUGCAGCUAACGCAUUAAGCACUCCGCCUGGGGAGUACGACCGCAAGGUUGAAACUCAAAGGAAUUGACGGGGACCCGCACAAGCGAUGGAGCAUGUGGUUUAAUUCGAAGCAACGCGAAGAACCUUACCAAAUCUUGACAUCCUUUGACAACUCUAGAGAUAGAGCCUUCCCCUUCGGGGGACAAAGUGACAGGUGGUGCAUGGUUGUCGUCAGCUCGUGUCGUGAGAUGUUGGGUUAAGUCCCGCAACGAGCGCAACCCUUAAGCUUAGUUGCCAUCAUUAAGUUGGGCACUCUAAGUUGACUGCCGGUGACAAACCGGAGGAAGGUGGGGAUGACGUCAAAUCAUCAUGCCCCUUAUGAUUUGGGCUACACACGUGCUACAAUGGACAAUACAAAGGGCAGCGAAACCGCGAGGUCAAGCAAAUCCCAUAAAGUUGUUCUCAGUUCGGAUUGUAGUCUGCAACUCGACUACAUGAAGCUGGAAUCGCUAGUAAUCGUAGAUCAGCAUGCUACGGUGAAUACGUUCCCGGGUCUUGUACACACCGCCCGUCACACCACGAGAGUUUGUAACACCCGAAGCCGGUGGAGUAACCUUUUAGGAGCUAGCCGUCGAAGGUGGGACAAAUGAUUGGGGUGAAGUCGUAACAAGGUAGCCGUAUCGGAAGGUGCGGCUGGAUCACCU